rnacentral:piRNA from 1 species
GUUUUUGUUUUGCUUGUCUGUUUGAGG